rnacentral:rRNA from 1 species
GGGAUCAUUACCGAGUUUACAACUCCCAAACCCAAUGUGAACGUUACCAAACUGUUGCCUCGGCGGGAUCUCUGCCCCGGGUGCGUCGCAGCCCCGGACCAAGGCGCCCGCCGGAGGACCAACCAAAACUCUUAUUGUAUACCCCCUCGCGGGUUUUUUUAUAAUCUGAGCCUUCUCGGCGCCUCUCGUAGGCGUUUCGAAAAUGAAUCAAAACUUUCAACAACGGAUCUCUUGGUUCUGGCAUCGAUGAAGAACGCAGCGAAAUGCGAUAAGUAAUGUGAAUUGCAGAAUUCAGUGAAUCAUCGAAUCUUUGAACGCACAUUGCGCCCGCCAGUAUUCUGGCGGGCAUGCCUGUCCGAGCGUCAUUUCAACCCUCGAACCCCUCCGGGGGGUCGGCGUUGGGGAUCGGCCCUCCCUUAGCGGGUGGCCGUCUCCGAAAUACAGUGGCGGUCUCGCCGCAGCCUCUCCUGCGCAGUAGUUUGCACACUCGCAUCGGGAGCGCGGCGCGUCCACAGCCGUUAAACACCCAACUUCUGAAAUGUUGACCUCGGAUCAGGUAGGAAUACCCGCUGA